rnacentral:misc_RNA from 1 species
GCCUAUUGGAUGUUAAUUUGAACAUAGAAUGAUCUAAUGAUAGUUUUGGGCUGUCUUGUUGCAUCAUAGGGAUUACAAAUCUGUUGUAGCCCAUCCUUCUUGGGGAUCCCCUCUUUUAACAGCCUAUUGGAUGUUAAUUUCAACAUUAAUGGAUCUAGGGCUAAUAAAUCUGGUGAAGUUGUCAACUAUUGACAUUAAAAUCCAUGUCUUAGUUUUAUUGAUCAGCUGAAGGCAAGACUGACUUUUUGCUUGGGGUUGGAGGGUUCUAAUGGGGAUUAUCCUGUGUAACAAUAAUGUAUAUCAUUAUCUCUAAGCUUCAGCUGAGAUAGGCUGAACAAACCUCAUCUUCCUUAUCUUGUAACCCUAUUUUUAUACAGCUCAAUGCAAUAAACAAUACACAGUAUUACACAAGCAUUUACUGGUUCACCAUGGGAAAUUUUUUUCUUACCACAAAUGUUAUUCCUUUUCCUUGUUUCUUUUGUUAGUUGAGCAGGCUUUUGUGGAUUUUAUUGUUUGAACAACUGCUGGCUCUUAUUUUUGUUACUUAUCUAACACUUUAAGAAAAGGCCAGUUUGUACUGUAUCAAGUGAUGAUUUUCUGAUUCUUUAUUCCUUUCAUGAGUUAGUUCUCCUCUUCAAGGAUACAUUGACGUUAAUGAUCCUUGGCUGAUUAAUAUGCUACUUUUCUUCUGUUCUCUUUUCUUGCUAUUCAACUGGACCUUAUUCUAAUUCAUGAAAAAGCUUUGCCUUGGCCAGCCAUGCAACUUUGGGCCUAUA